rnacentral:lncRNA from 1 species
UGUUGACACUCUUUUUUAACAUUAUUUUGACAACGGUCACAUGACGUUGUCUGAUUGGCCCUAAUUUUUGAAAAAAGAAAUCAUUUUCUAAUAUUCACGUAGGGGCAUAAUCGGAACAUUAGGUUUUGAAGACAAUUUUCAUUUCGCGCUCUUCAUUUUCACGGUUUCGCUUUCUCUUUGGUUCAGUCAUCAUCUCUUUCGUUCACUUCCUCUCUCGGUCUCGCAUCAUCUAUUUCGUUCUUGGGUUUGUCUCGCAUCAUCUAUCCAUCUCUUUCGGUGUUGGGUUUUCUACUCGUCUCGUUUCUUUCAUUUUCGAUCCUAGGUUUUCUCCUUCUGUCGUUUCUGCCAUUUUUGAUGUUUGGUUUUGUCCUUCUCUCAUCGUCAUUGCCGCCGUGUGUGUCGGACCAUCACUGUAGUGGUGUGGGUGGUUGUCUGAAUCUCGCGAAAGGUUGGUGUGUCGUUGUCGUUGACGGAGCAUUGCGUAUUUCGUUGGUGGUGUUUUUCUGGAUUUCGGGUAAGUGCAAGAAUGUACUUUUUUAAAUGGAAUCUGUAAUAGAGGGGUUUAUUUUUUAAGCGAAACCUAACCUAAGUUAUUUUUUGGGUAUUGAUAUAACUGCACGUUUAAUGGCUUCAAGAAAACCAAGUGUAAGUUAAAAUUUUAUGUUUUAUUGGUAUGGGUGAUGUAUAACGUUUGAUUGUUAGUAUUUAAUGUAUGUCAUUUUAAUGUUUUGUAGUGGCGCCUUCGUAUUUUCAUGGAUUC